UUUGUUGAGAAAUAAAAAACAAAGUUGCUACUCCUAUACACUUUGACAUAAUCGUCUACAAAUAAAAAAUUGUUUCUUUGGCAUGUAUAAAAACGUUCUUAGAAUUUAGUGUGCAUAUUUGGAAAAAUAAUGUGGAUAUUUAGAGGCAGUCGCAUAUUUAUCGCAGGCAUUAUAUCAAGGACAGAAGAAAAAUUGCCGACUAAUAAUGCUUUAAUAACAUGCAAUCAUAAAAAAUUACCACUUUAAAUCAAUCGAUGCGGUGCAUUUGAUAUAUGGCCCUCGAUUUCGUCAAAUGUACCUGUAUGGCUGCCCUGUAUUUCAUAGCUGUAUUUCGACAAGUACAGAAAUCAAGAACAGUGCGAAAUCUGAGGCAAACGAUGUUUUUAAUAGUCGAACUAACUGCAAUGGUUAUAUAAACCAAACAUCCCUAUUUGAAUACAACAAUCCACAUAAUUCGCCAGCAGUAUCUUCCUUACUUACAUGCAGCGAGCUUGAAUUAUUAUGUAUUCCGCACAAACACGAUAAUUUGGAUUAUAUGAAUAAUAUAAACUCUUUAAACCUGACAAAUGCAAGUUCAUUAGUGAUUGAUCAAAAAGGAUGUAGAUGCAUCUUGUGUAUUGACAGACGAAAAUUAAUUGAUUCCAGUGUCUUGAAAGCUAAGCGCUUUAUUGAUGAUGCUGUACACUAUUCUUGCGUAUCUGUCUGCGGACAAAACGAUGCGUACUCAUUUAAAACCAAAACUAAAUUGUAUCUAUAUCAUCUGGUGCACUUGGUCUUAGCGAUAGCUUGCUUUCGUGGAAUUUUAUAGCUUCUUGUUUUAAAAUUAUUCUCAGAAAAUCUCUUAAUUUAUAGUAGUAGUAUAUAAACAAAUCGAUUGAUAUUGAACAAUAAAAAAAAUUUUGGUUGCUA